rnacentral:tRNA from 2 species
GCGUGGAUGGUGUAGCGGUAACAUUGGGUCUUCCCACUUUUCAGUGUGGCCUAGCUCCGGGUUCGACUCCCGGUUCACGCA